GUUAUUUUACUGCUUAUUAUUGGAAGCAGCAAGUACAAGGCUGCUGUCAAGCUAAGAGUACCUACUGACGUUUUGCACCAUGUCGUCUUUUAAGACGUACCUGUUCAGUACAGAAUAUUUCUGGGGAAUCUUUGCCACAGAGAUGGUGUGUGGUAAGCACUCGCCGCCUGCCAUGACGCACUUGGACUCCCAUUAAACUGCCUUGCCGUGUGCGGUGCCAUGAUCAAUAUGGCAUCAUCAGACGUGCUGGUCUGCCUCACAGCAACAGACAGUGGCAUUGAUGGAUGGUUUGCACCGUGGUCUGGGCAGACAAGGCGCAUCAUCAGCCGCACCACAUGUCCUCCUCUACUCGGGGCGGUACUAACACCGCGGGUGCCGGCAGUGGAGCUGUCACAUCGUCCUUUGUCGUUGGCACCAGAACGUCGCCAUUCUCUGGCAGUCGGGACUUGAUUGUGUCGAAUGCGGGGCCUGGCAAUCAGCCAUGCUUGCUCCGAUGACCAGGACUUGAUUGUGUCGAGUGCGGGGCCUGGCAAUCAGCCAUGCUUGCUCCGAUGACCAGGACUUGAUUGUGUCGAGUGCGGGGCCUGGCAAUCAGCCAUGCUUGCUCCGAUGGUCGGGACUUGAUUGUGUCGAGUGUGGGGCCUGGCAAUCCGCCAUGCUUGCUCCGAUGGUCGGGAUUUGAUUGUGUCGAGUGCGGGGCCUGGCAAUCAGCCAUGCUUGCUCCGAUGGUGGGGACUUGAUUGUGUCGAGUGCGGUGCCUGUCAAUCAGCUCUCCUUGCUUUUCACUGCCGGGUUCGGCAGACGAAUCUACCUAUGGGAGGUUUCCACAGUCAAGAAAAAAAAAAGAGUGAUUCUUUUCAAAACUAUAGCCUGGUAUGUAGGUUUCCAAUGGCAUUGGUUUAGAUUCUCAAUUCCCGUUUUGGUACAUGGUUGUGCUAAACAGAUUUACCUACAGUCUCUAACUUAAUACUGGUCUGUAGUCCUUAAAUGGAUAUGAGUAUUCAGUUCCUAAGAGCUCACAGUUCGACAGUCCCUAAACGCAUUUUUUUGUGUGCAGAUUUCACUGACAUUUUGUUUUGUUCGCUCGCACCAAAAUUUCGUGGUAGUAGUUCCUGAAUGCAUUCAGGCGCCAUCUCCUCGUGCUAACUGAUUAGCAACAACAGAAGUAUUCAGAACCUGUUUCAUGCUAUACUGAUUUCCAUCAAGUUUGUCGACAAUGAUUCCCAGAGACGUGCAAAUGCGUUUCUUGCGUGGUGUUAUUGAUUUACUUUGAGGCUGAAAAUCGUUGCUGUUCACUGUGGAUACAAAUAAUAUUUAACUUCUCUUUCAAUACUUAUAUUAGCUCUUGUUGUCUUGUUCGAUCAGGAAAUUAUUAUUUGAUAAAUUUAUCUAGAAAAAUGUUGGUCACAUUUUUUGUGAAUUUGGAGGUUGUUUGUUGCCUAGUUGAACUAGUAUAAGGUUGACCCAUGAGAAGCUUAUUUCUGCUGAUGUAGUUAGUUGUUCGCCUGUGACGUCACUGAUCUCAGUGACGUCACGGGCAUUAGCCAAUCACCAAAAUACGAUCAAACAGUCAACCAAUCCGCCAUGGGAAUGACGGGAUUGUUAACGUUUCUCGAUCUCAGUGACGUAACAAGAAAGCUGGACUGUAAGACGGAAAUCCUCGCGGGUCAACCGUAUAUAGUUCAACCAUGGUCUGUUGUAUGCUUAUUUUCUGCCACAUUUUUUUACUCAUUAGAAUUAGUUCAUGCGUUCUUGCACAGUUAUUGAAGCUAGCACAUUCAUAGAUAAUUUGAAAGUAUCUUCACUGCUAUACUUGCAAUAUUCCUACAUAUUGGGACCUCAAAUAAAGAUUGAAGUCUUACUCGCUUGAGUACUGUCUUGUAAAGGCAAAAUAAUAUUUUUAUACUUUUUUAGGAGCAUUUUUCAUAUUUUUUAGAACGGAAAAAUAAUUAUUGUCUAGCUGUGAUAAGAAAUUUUGUUCUAUUUCUUAACCGAAGUAAAAUAAACUAGUGUCUUGACCAAACUUCUAAGUAACCUGUUGUACGAGACCUAUUUCUUAUAUAAAACUCGGUAUUUCUAUUAAUGAUUUAUAAAUGUGUAUCCACCCAGUCUUCAGUGAAAGCUACUGCCCAAAGAAUUUAAUGUCAUCAGAGUUGUUAACUUUCGAUUUAUAGUCAAUUGUUAUAUGCGUUUUCUCUAAACAAUAAAAACGGGACGUUUACCCACUUCAUUCGUCUAGUACAUGGACUCCUUCAACUUUUCAAUAUUGGAAUGAUAUUCAUCAUGCCAAAGUUUGUUCUUUCUUUUUGAAUUCACUUGCUUGUUCAUUAUUUUAAAAUACACUUGUUCAUGAUAA
rnacentral:lncRNA from 1 species